rnacentral:rRNA from 1 species
UCUUUCGUCGGGGAAGAAAAUGACUGUACCCGAAUAAGAAGGUCCGGCUAACUUCGUGCCAGCAGCCGCGGUAAUACGAAGGGACCUAGCGUAGUUCGGAAUUACUGGGCUUAAAGAGCUCGUAGGUGGUUAAAAAAGUUGAUGGUGAAAUCCCAAGGCUCAACCUUGGAACUGCCAUCAAAACUUUUUAGCUAGAGUGUGAUAGAGGUAAGUGGAAUUUCUAGUGUAGAGGUGAAAUUCGUAGAUAUUAGAAAGAACACCAAAUGCGAAGGCAACUUACUGGGUCACUACUGACACUGAGGAGCGAAAGCAUGGGUAGCGAAGAGGAUUAGAUACCCUCGUAGUCCAUGCCGUAAACGAUGUGUGCUAGACGUUGGAAAUAUAUUUUUCAGUGUCGCAGCGAAAGCAUUAAGCACACCGCCUGGGGAGUACGACCGCAAGGUUAAAACUCAAAUGAAUUGACGGGGACCCGCACAAGCAGUGGAGCAUGUGGUUUAAUUCGAAGAUACGCGCAGAACCUUACCAACACUUGACAUGUUCGUCGCGACUCUAAGAGAUUAGAGUUUUCGGUUCGGCCGGACGAAACACAGGUGCUGCAUGGCUGUCGUCAGCUCGUGUCGUGAGAUGUUGGGUUAAGUCCCGCAACGAGCGCAACCCUCACUUUUAGUUGCCAUCAUUAAGUUGGGCACUCUGAAAGAACUGCCAGUGAUAAGCUGGAGGAAGGUGGGGAUGACGUCAAGUCCUCAUGGCCCUUACGUGUUGGGCUACACACGUGCUACAAUGGUAUCUACAACAGGAAGCAAGACUGCGAAGUUAAGCAAAUCCCUAAAAGAUACCUCAGUUCGGAUUGCACUCUGCAACUCGAGUGCAUGAAGCUGGAAUUACUAGUAAUCGUGGAUCAGCGUGCCACGGUGAAUGCGUUCCCGGGUCUUGUACACACCGCCCGUCACACCAUGGGAGUUGGUUCUACCUUAAGGCAAGGUUUAAUACCCUUGACCACGGUAUAGUCAGCGACUGGGGUGAAGUCGUAACAAGGUAGCCGUAGGGGAACCUGCGGCUG